AGCAGCCGCGGUAAUUCCAGCUCCAAUAGCGUAUAUUAAAGUUGUUGCAGUUAAAAAGCUCGUAGUUGAAUUUCGGGGUUAGUAGGUUGGUCAUGCCUCUGGUAUGUACUGGUCUCACUGAUUCCUCCUUCCUGAUGAGCCGUAAUGCCAUUAAUUUGGUGUUGCGAGGAAUUUGGACUGUUACUUUGAAAAAAUUUAGAGUGUUUAAAGCAAGCUAACGCUUGAAUACAUUAGCAUGGAAUAAUGAAAUAGGACGUUCGAUCCUAUUUUGUUGGUUUCUAGGAUUGACGUAAUGAUUAAUAGGGAUAGUUGGGGGCAUUAGUAUUCAAUUGUCAGAGGUGAAAUUCUUGGAUUUAUUGAAGACUAACUACUGCGAAAGCAUUUGCCAAGGAUGUUUUCAUUAAUCAAGAACGAAAGUUAGGGGAUCGAAGACGAUCAGAUACCGUCGUAGUCUUAACCAUAAACUAUGCCGACUAGGGAUCGGAUGAUGUUAAUUUUUUUAAUGACUCAUUCGGCGCCU
rnacentral:misc_RNA from 1 species